rnacentral:rRNA from 1 species
GUAGGUGGCAAGCGUUGUCCGGAAUUAUUGGGCGUAAAGCGCGCGCAGGCGGUUCUUUAAGUCUGAUGUGAAAGCCCACGGCUCAACCGUGGAGGGUCAUUGGAAACUGGAGAACUUGAGUACAGAAGAGGAAAGCGGAAUUCCACGUGUAGCGGUGAAAUGCGUAGAGAUGUGGAGGAACACCAGUGGCGAAGGCGGCUUUCUGGUCUGUAACUGACGCUGAGGCGCGAAAGCGUGGGGAGCAAACAGGGAUUAGAUGCCCUGGUAGUCCACGCCGUAAACGACGAGUGCUAAGUGUUAGGGGGUUUCCGCCCCCUUAGUGCUGCAGCUAACGCAUUAAGCACUCCGCCUGGGGAGUACGGCCGCAAGGCUG